GUCGGGGAAUGGGAUGGGCAUGAUUUUGAAAAGAAAAUUUCAGUACAAUUUCCCAAGUAAUACAGUGUGUAUUACUCUUAUUUUACUUUGCAUAAUUACACAUAUGAAAAAAAAAGGUGGAAACCGGUUCAUUCGAUAUAUGCAUUCCAUAUAUUCCAAACCUUGAAGCAGACUGCAGCAUAUCGGAGCCCCAUCACCGAGAAUGCACUCUGGUGCGGUGGGGGUUGGAAAGUAGGAUGGAAUCGAAAGGGAGAGAGAGAGAAAGCAGAGGAAAACGUGUAAUCACCCAAACAAACAUUUUACCCAUUUUCAUCCCCUUUGGAAGCAUAGAGUCAGCCUCUUCUCUCUUUGCCGCAGCAGUUUGCGGCAACUUCUCUUGCUUCUGCUGAGGAUAUAGACCGAGGUGGGAGGCCAGGACAGUGACGAAGACACCAAGGUUUCAGAUGAUGUCCAGUACGCCGCAGCUGCUGCAGCCAAUAAACAAGGUGACUAACAAUGGAAGAGAGGCAUGGCUGAAGAGGAGGAGACAGGAAAACCACCAUAGCACACACAAAACUAAAGGAGAGAGAUUUCUCUUCUUUUAACUUCAGAGCAUAUAUAAAAAAUGUGCAAGUGCGAGUUGGGGUGGAACACAAAAGGUCCGCGCUCAUGCUUUGCAUCUGUGAGCUUCGGAACAAAGGGAAACACUCUAAACCAACAUCCUGGGUAUAAAUUUGCAAAACGCAAUACAGGCCUGAUUGUGUGUCGAGUGGAUGUGUGGUGCAUACGAAUAGACCAUGUGCCCCUUCCUCUCUCCUCCUCUGCCUCCAAAUAGUACAACUCUUUCUCCCCUCCUCAGUCUUCUAAUGCUGCCAAGUAAGUAAAAAAAAACUCUCUGCAACUUAAUUGUUUUCCUCGUUACAGUUCUGAACUCUGAGCUUGUAUCACUUCCACCAGUAAGCCUGACACGUACUUUGACAAAAGUAAUGAUCUAUGCACAUAUUAUUUUCCAUAUGACACUAACCUGUCCUUGGUUUGAAUAUGUGUGAACUGUAUAAAAGUUCUUGUUUAAGUGAUAUUUGUAUCUUGUCCUUUUUGAGCAACCGUCACAACGUACCAUUUUGCUGUGCCAAAUGGUAGCAUAGUUACAUGUACACAGUCUGCAGCAUGGGACUAUGUCAGGAGAAUGUGAAUGGCUGGGAACAAGUGAAGUCUUGGCACUGUUACCAGGUCAGCUUGAAGCCCUCUCAUAGCCCAGCCCUCAGGACCAGGUGUUCCUUGCAUUCAGAUGAUACGCUUAUUCAUAGACUGCCUCAACUGGAGUAUUAAAACUAGAAAUUUGCAAGUGAAUGCUGAUAUAAUCCUGGAAAUAUAUGUCUCCAUUAAAAAGUAUCCCAUUUAAAGGAACAAGACGGUCUUUGUGUGAGGCUGUAUGUAUAUUUAUCAAGGCACUAAAAGAGAUUCAGCAGAGGAGGGGCUAAGGGAAGGGAUAGGGGGUAGCAGGGCAGACUUUCCAACUGUUUACAUGUUAAUUUCAAACUUAACAGCCCUUGUCCUGGAGCUAUUUAUAAACCAAAUGCAAAUUGAUUUUUUUUUACUCCUUUUCUUGUGGUGUUUUCUGGACACUUGACUGUUGAGACAAAAUGAAAAGUUUUGAGAACUCUUGAAUUGAAGCGGCAUGUUCCAACAUUUUUCAGUUUCGGGCCCUCGUACAGCAAACCUUAUGAAGUCAAAAAAUACCAAGCUAUGCAAAGCUGUAAUUUGGGAAAAGUUGCCCUGUUUGAAAAAUUUAAAUUGGAUAACAUUUUAUUUUGAUUAACAUUUUUAUUUACCUAAUAUCAGGUAAGAUGCUCAAUGUCCUUCACAUGGCAGAAGAAAAAACUAAUUUGCUCAAUUUCCAUUGCCGGUCGAGCCGCGUAAAUGAAGUUUACAAUAAAAUGCAAGGAGAUUUCAAAAAUAAAGUUGGCUUGGAAGACCACAAAUUAGUGAAUUGGGCAUUUAGAGAGUCUUCCACCCUGAUCGUACGUGUCCAUGUAUGCCCAACCUCACUAGCCUUACUUUCCAUGGCUGUGCCACGGCAGUGCAAUGAAUUUAAGCAUAUUCAAUCAAGAUGAUAAAAAUAAUGCAUUUAGUGAAUUGAUUCUACAGUAAUACAAAAGGUUCUAUGCACGCUGUUGUCAUAUUUAUGAUUGAAAUAUGAUGACACCACACAGUUCAGAAUCUCUCUGCCUGCAGCUCAGUCAUAUCAUAAUAUUACACUCCGUAUCACACUAGAUGUGGUUCAAGCCGGCAUAAUGUUUGGUCAACUUUCAGCCACCAAACUGUCAAGUGCGCUAGGUGCAUGUCAAUGAAAUCAGGGCUUGCGUCGGCACGAAAAACAGGAUAAUAGUUUGUGCUGAGUACCAAAACAGAGCACAUUAUGCUAAUGUUUGGCAGAAAUUGUUCAAAUAAAAGACAGACAUCAUUGGCUCGAUCCUUUCUUGAGGGCUUGUUAUUGCCAUGUGAAUAAAUAAUGGUCGCAUCUUUUCAGUUAGAGUGCAUGUUUGACCUUCCAGACAAAGGAGAGCACAAGGCCUCUUGAAGUGAAUACAGUACUAAGUAGGUAUACAAUCAUUAAAUUAAUAUAUAAUCAAUCAAUCAAUCAAGAAGCCUCAGUGCAAUAUUGUUCUAAAGAUGUUUGUUGUGAGGGUAAAAGUAAAAGUAGUGUUUUUUUUGCAACAACCAUUUUCAUUCAAGUGUAAGAACCUUUCAUUAAAACCAUCUAACGUUGUACAUGAUCUAAAGCAAUCUGCAAAGAUUGUCUUACGGUUAUGGCGAUGCUUUGGGUUUCAUAGAUGUUUUUCUAUCAAUCCCCAUACAAAAAACAUGAAUAUGCAUUUAAUGCCAUCACUGAAAUCCCUCUGUCUAAUUAUGAUGCUAAUAUCACCCCUCCUAACAAAGAACAUUUUCAAAUCCUCUUGUUUACAAAAGAGGGAAAGUACAGCAGCAUUGUGCUCACUACAAGACAGGGGCAGAGGGCAAUGGCUACAAAACAUCACUCUGCUAACAUGAUCACCUGAAUUGCGCCCGUUCCAUUGUGCUAAAAUAUCAUAAAUUGGCACAUCAACAUACCACCCCCUCUCCAGCAUGGACCAAAAUGAUUAUUUAUGUGGUUGAAAAGAGACAAUUAGUCAUAUUCACAUGCUGAAAUUAAUUGGCAGACAUGCGGGGAAUGAAGAGGGAGAACAAAGACAGCUUUGUCUCACUUCUUUUCCAUUUGACAGGGAUAAUUAAAUAUAUGAAAUAGGAAUUCCUCACCAGGGGUCCUGUUGACAGUGUUAUUUUGUGUCUUGUUCCUCAUCGCCUUUUUCCCUCUUUUGUGUUCCUAUUUAUGCUAAUGUGGACUCUGUUAUUUAUUUUUGUCCUGACAACUAAAAGCAGACUCUUAAUAUUUUCACUGCUCCCCUUUCCAUAUGAUCCCUAUAUUUGUGGUACACAAUGGAAAUUAAUUGUUUUUAAUGUGGCAUUAUAUAUUGCAUAUUAGCACAUGGUUGCAAAAUUUGCCAUUCAGAAAAAUCUGUAUUUACUUACCUGGCACACUAGGGGCCAUCCCUUUAAACUUCAACCAAUCACAAGCUCACUGCUCAUCUACAGUUCAGAUGGGACUACAAUUUAUUUUUUUAACAGUAAUAUUUAUGUUACUUUUACAUUUUUAUGUAUUACUUUGACAUUUUUAUGUUCUGACAAUCAAAUCAAAGGGUUUUUUUAUUACACAAUUAAAGCUCUAGAAAGCUACGCUCCAUCAUUGGUUUCUUUAAUGUCAUGUGAAUUUCCUUCCCAGUAUCACAGAGGAAUAUCUGAUCAAAGAACAUUGUGGUUGGUGUGGAAUUAUGGGUUAUGUCACCUUUCACCACAAAAGUAGAAUGGGGCCUCACAUCGUGUUCCUUUUACAUGAGAAACUGAUGCUGUCAUGUUUCUCACAACUGAGAAAACUCCACGUGGCACAUGUAAAAGCAUUCAAAAAGAUUGACUUUAGUUCUAAUCAUAACAUGAACACAAGUUCCUGAUAUCUCCUUUGUUUUUUUUAUCCCAGAAAUGUAGGAUAUGCUAGUUCUUUAUUAUUUUCAUACAUUUGUAUACUGUUUAUUUUUAUUGCUAUUUUUCUUUUUACAAACAAUGCAACAUUCACUUCUUGUUUUGCAUUUAAGUUUCUGCAAAUAAUAGAAAUCAUAGAAUUAAAAAAAAGACGAGAUGGCUAAGUUAAUUUAACUCUUUUUUUUUUUUUCAAAUACUAAUUGAUCGUUUUAGGCUAGGCUUUAGAUCUUGGAAGAUGCCUUUAGAAUAAUUACUGCAACUUGUAUCUUAACUAACGUUUGUUGCUUUUUAACCACUAACUUAUUCAUAUGUGGAAGAACCUUGUUGUAUCUAAUGUUUGCCACAUUUGUUCUUGAGUGUACAUCUAAUAGCCCAGUGUUGUUUGAUAGUGCCAGUGUUCCCAGAUCUCAGCAGCUCUAGGCCUAUACAGGCAUGGGGUAUCCUCUCAAACACAGGGUUAGUACAGUAAUAGCCGGACCAUCAGGGAGCCAGAUGAAAGGGCUGGGAAAUGGUGCCAGAAGCCCCAAAAGGAUUCUGUGUUGUGAAAAGUGCUUCACCCCUCUGAUAAGCUGUGUUGUCCUAUGAUCAUUUUCACAAAGCGACACGGCGACAGUACAUAGAAUUUACGACUGCCAAAUCCAUUUUUAGUCGAUUUGUUCAUUCAUUUAUCCUGUUGGGAGCCACAGAUGAGUUUGAGACUAUCCCAACUGACUUUAUUCUACCUGGUUUGAUCACUCAUCAUUGUUUUAGAAUAACUUAAUUUGAACUCUUUUUUGAACACUUGGUUCAAAUAAUUAUUUUCAAACCUUUUGUGAUUGUUGUCAGUUUUAAAAAAAAUCGUAAUUUUUUCUACAGACAAUAUUAUGCUGCUUACCUGAAGCCUAUUCUUUUCUGACUGAAAAUAAUGUCCAUUAUUACAGGUGAGAUUGUUUGUUCCAUACCAAAUGAAUGCUUCACCAUUCUUUACACUUUUAGGGCAAAGGUCCACUUUUUUCAUACAAACUAGUCACAUGGAGAAAGGUGCCACUAGAUAGUCUUUUCUAAGAAUUACGUCCACACCACAGGCAAAUGUGACCUAGAUUGGAC